rnacentral:lncRNA from 1 species
CUGAGUGUGAGGUUGCCAUAGUGUUUUCCAUGGGAGUGGUGCCUCCGUUCUACCUCUCCGAACUUCCUGGAUGCUUGGGACCCACAAGGACCCGUCGGCCGAAUUAGGGAAAAAGAAGCCUUGGCCGAUAAUGCAGGUAUCGAGGGGCGAGGUCGGCGGUGCCUCUGCGUUUGGGGCAGUUCUCGCGUCCCCCAGUGGGUCGCGUAGCGCCUGGUUUGAGAGUUCCCGCGGCUCUCAACUCGUGGCGACUUAAUCUCCCUGUGCCUCCCGUUCCUCUUAUUUAAAAUGGAGAUUUAGGACCUUCCUAAUAGAAUUGUUUUGGGAAUUGAAAGAGGUGGUACAAAUCUAAAUCUUAAAAGAGUUCUUGCCUUCUGGUGAAUGGUGAUGUCUCAAUUUCCUGAGGAGCGAUCAGGUCCCCAAGUUAGGGUCAGAGCUCCCCAGCUGCAGUGACCCUGGCUCUUUUCUCUGAUCGCGGCAUUCCGCUGGGUAAUCCCAGACUCCUUCUGACGUCUUUUUUUAAGAAAGGUGAGGAUUGCUUCUAGAUUGCACGGAGGGAGAGGAGGCUUUAAUUUUUCUGGAGGACGGCGACACGAUCAUGGCAUUUCAUAGCAUUCUUUCUUUCCCCAGCUUGAUUUCUCAAAAAGGACUGAACCGAGAUAGAGGGAGUGACUCCUUGGCUACUGACAGCAGAGCUCCACGCACUGCCAGGCACAGUUCUGCCUCGCUGGGACCUGUAUUACUCAGGACUCCACAUGUUCCCAGAAGUUCGAGGAAGAAUGACCACAUUCAAGGUGAGUCGGGCUUGCCUUUCUCACUUUGAAAAUUCCAUCUCAUUACUCAGUUCUUUUCUUGGGACAACUUAAGCAGAACAACAGGAAACUGAGGACCUGUUGUGCUCCCAGGUCUUACUUUGUCCCUUUUGGGUUUACUUUGCAUUUGUUUUUACUUUUUGUUUUAUUUUAUUAUUGUUUUAUGGAAUGGAAAAAUUCUUAGAAAUGAACAAUUCUCCCACUUUACUGCUUCUCUACUG